rnacentral:tRNA from 1 species
GGCCCGCUAGCUCAACUGGCAGAGCAACUGACUCUUAAUCAGUAGGUUCACGGUUCAAGUCCGUGGCGGGUCACCA